CAUUACCACCAGAUACGCUCAAUAGAAUAAUCACAAUAAUUCAUUGGCAACUUUGCGAGCCAGGAAGCAAGCAAAACUCUCACCAACAGCUCUGCGGCGUAACCGUCGCCCAAAAACCCCUAGUUUCCCGCCUCAUCGAAAAGUUUAUGGCUAAAAACCACAAGAAAAUUCUUGAAGCGAAAGCGCCACCGAACCUUUGGCGAUUUGGCUUGAGGCGCAAUGGUUCAAUAGCACUUCACGCUUGUUCCUCGUGUGAUGUAUGGAUAUAACUGGCUCGUUGACAUUUGGGAGUCCAACCCGCUGAUUGGAUGCUGUGCAGAGAUCAAUCCACUUCGACAACCUCUCCCCCAUGUGCGAGAAUCUGUAGGUCCGGAUUCCUGGCCAUAAAGAGAGCAAUGCAGACUGUUUUAUUUACAGAGUAUUUAUUUUUCAAAUAAUGAAAAUAAUGUAGCAUUAUCUAUUUCAGACAUGAAAAUAAUGGCUCCAACGAAGAAAAGUGCGAUGCAAGCCACCACGCACAUAGCAUGAAUAAAUGGAGAGCCAGAUAUAUGCAGUGCCACACGACAACGACAUUCAUUUAUAUAUGUAUGUAAUUGAGCCAGAAGUCAUUUCAUACAAAGGGUGGGGGAGUUCUUCUAGUAAAUAGUGGUAACUCGUAAUGGGACCAUGACUCGCCAAACAAUAGUCACGAAAAAGGUAUGGGAUGGAGAAACAGAUCUGUGAGAUUUUGAGAAAGAAAAAAAAAAAAAAUUGCGGAAUUGUUGGUUUGUGGAAAUGGGUCGGAAUUAACACGGAGGAGUGGCUGAACUCAAAGGACAAACAAGGUAGGUCACGACUGACAAACAGGAUGGACAACGGGCAAGGAGAAACUGUUCCUCUCAUUUUGGUGCUCUACAGAUCAAACAAGCCAAAUCCAACCCAUCAGCAUGAUGACUG
rnacentral:sRNA from 1 species